UUAUGUACAUGCCUAUAACGUUAAUGCACUAUAUCCCAUGAGAACUCUGUAGUUAAGCAUGCUUGGGAAAGAGUAGUACUAGGAUGGGUGACCUCCCAAGAAGUCCUAGUGUUUUACAUGAC
rfam:Picea glauca, whole genome shotgun sequence.